rnacentral:rRNA from 1 species
AUUGAACGCUGGCGGCAUGCUUUACACAUGCAAGUCGAACGGCAGCGGGGAGGAGCUUGCUUCUCUGCCGGCGAGUGGCGAACGGGUGAGUAAUACAUCGGAACGUGUCGAGAAGAGGGGGAUAACCACCCGAAAGGGUGGCUAAUACCGCAUAAAUUCUGAGGAAGAAAGCUGGGGACCUAGGAAUAGGCCUAGCGCUUUUUGAGCGGCCGAUGUCGGAUUAGCUAGUUGGUGAGGUAAAGGCUCACCAAGGCGAAGAUCUGUAGCGGGUCUGAGAGGAUGAUCCGCCACACUGGGACUGAGACACGGCCCAGACUCCUACGGGAGGCAGCAGUGGGGAAUUUUGGACAAUGGGGGCAACCCUGAUACAGCCAUGCCGCGUGUAUGAAGAAGGCCUUAGGGUUGUAAAGUACUUUUGUUAGGGAAGAAAAGUCAGCUGUGAAUAAUGGCUGAUACUGACGGUACCUAAAGAAUAAGCACCGGCUAACUACGUG